ACGAGGUUUGGCUUGCCACGGGGAACAGCGCCAUCUUCACGUCCCCUAACUACCCUUUGGGAUAUGGUGCUGGAAACAGCACAUACUGGGUUUUCUGUGCCAUUGACCCAGACGACAGAAUAUUGAUCGACUGCCCUGAAUUUAAUGUUGGUGUGUGGCUUAUAGUUUGCCUUGGAGACUUCCUUAGCAUCACCUUUGCUUACCCCGAAACGUACUGCGGCACUGCUGGUCCAACUGACGUGCUCACGACAGAGCGAGGGACAAAUGUCAGCCUUACCGUCGUGGACCUAUAUAACUCUCCAGGGUUUAACUGUACAGCAAAAGCCAUAAACACAAAUCCAGUCACAACCACUGUUGGAACAACAACCACUGUUGGAACAACAACCACUGCUGGAACAACAACUCACUGCUGGAACAACAACCACUGCUGGAACAACAACCCCUGCUGGAACAACAACCACUGCUGGAACAACAACCAUGGAAGCAACUGCAACUAAUGCUGGAACGACCCAAGAUCCUUCAACAACGCUAACAACAGCACUUUCAAACAAUAUGUGUAGUGAUGUCAAUGACC